GUUGAUAUCUGUUACCUAUAAAAAGAUAUACACACAAUACUAUACUUUUAAGAAUCAUCCCGUCGUAACUUUUGAACAGACAGUCGGACAUUUUUGAGCUUAUUACAUAAAAGGUAGAGCUCGUCGAGAGGAACAUUUUAUACGCUGUAAGUAUGCAGCAAACUCUUAUCGUUUUCUUAAUAUGCAAGCUUUAAAUUGCAGCGUAAUUUUUUUUUGCACUCGGUGACCUUUGACCUUGGGUGCAAAUUAAAGUUCACAUGAACUUAAGAUUAUUGGUGUAGGUCCCAAGUCUUUACGACUUCCGGUUCUCGAGAUACAAUUUUUCAAAAAUUGUGUAUAUUUUUUCAGGGAAAUAACUCCUUAUAAGGGUUAACAACAAAAUGAUUGUAUAUGUUAAUUAACAUUGCCAUCUGGUCCUGUACAUGUUGCCGUUUCCAAAUCGAUUCUAUCUUGAAUACUUUUUGAGAAAAAUGUAAAAGAAAGAAAUUGCUUCAAGGGGACAUAACUCUCAUAGGGAAUAAUAAAAUCCUUAGCAGCCUCAUAUGGUAACACAUCAUGAUGAGAUCUAACUUUUGUCCAAAUAAGGUCAUGAUAUCUUCAAAAACAACGAGGGGGGGCCAUGUCGAAAAAAACCAAUAAAAGGGAGAUAACUUCUAAAGGGGAUGAUGAAAUCCUACACAGCCUCAUCUGGUAAUACUUCAUGAUCAGGUCUACCGAUGGUCCAUAUUUGGUCUUGAUGACUCCAAUAGAAACGAGGGGAGGCCAUGUCAAACAAAUGCUGGAUGAAAAAAAAAAAAAAAAAAAAAAAAAAAAAAAAAAAAAAAAAACAGGAGAAAAACAAUAAGGUCUUUCCUCGCGGAGAGGAAAGACCUUAAAA
rnacentral:lncRNA from 1 species